UACGAAGGGUGCAAACGUUGCUCGGAAUCAUUGGGCGUAAAGCGCACGUAGGCGCUUCGCAAGUCGGAUGUGAAAUCCCUCGGCUCAACCGAGGACGUGCAUACGAAACUGCGAAGCUUGAGUACUGAAGAGGAUCGCGGAAUUCCCGGUGUAGAGGUGAAAUUCGUAGAUAUCGGGAGGAACACCAGUGGCGAAGGCGGCGAUCUGGGCAGAUACUGACGCUGAGGUGCGAAAGCGUGGGGAGCAAACAGG
rnacentral:rRNA from 1 species